GUACCCAUGGUGUAGUGGUUAUCACAUCCGCCUAACACGCGGAAGGUCCCAGGUUCGGGGAAAACCCGGGGGUAAU